rnacentral:tRNA from 1 species
CCCUGGGUGGCUCAGUCGGUUGAGCGUCUGACUUUGGCUCAGGUCGUGAUCUCACGGUUCGUGGGUUUGAGCCCCAUGUCGGGCU